rnacentral:rRNA from 1 species
CCUACGGGGUGCUGCAGUGAGGAAUAUUGGUCAAUGGGCGGGAGCCUGAACCAGCCAAGCCGCGUGAGGGAAGAAGGUACAGCGUAUCGUAAACCUCUUUUGUCAGGGAACAAAGGCGGGGACUAGUCCCCGGAUGAGGGUACCUGAAGAAAAAGCAUCGGCUAACUCCGUGCCAGCAGCCGCGGUAAUACGGAGGAUGCGAGCGUUAUCCGGAUUUAUUGGGUUUAAAGGGUGCGCAGGCGGCCUGUUAAGUCAGCGGUAAAAGCCCGGGGCUCAACCCCGGCGAGCCGUUGAAACUGGGGAUCUAGAGUGUGCGAGAGGUAUGCGGAAUGCGUGGUGUAGCGGUGAAAUGCAUAGAUAUCACGCAGAACCCCGAUUGCGAAGGCAGCAUACCGGUGCACAACUGACGCUCAGGCACGAAAGCGUGGGUAUCGAACAGGAUUAGAUACCCUGGUAGUC